UACGAAGGGGGCUAGCGUUGCUCGGAAUCACUGGGCGUAAAGGGUGCGUAGGCGGGUCUUUAAGUCAGAGGUGAAAGCCUGGAGCUCAACUCCAGAACUGCCUUUGAUACUGAGGAUCUUGAGUUCGGGAGAGGUGAGUGGAACUGCGAGUGUAGAGGUGAAAUUCGUAGAUAUUCGCAAGAACACCAGUGGCGAAGGCGGCUCACUGGCCCGAUACUGACGCUGAGGCACGAAAGCGUGGGGAGCAAACAGG
rnacentral:rRNA from 1 species